GACCUCUUAGGGCAAAGUCGGUAUUUACCCACAUAACCAUAACUAGGGUUACUUAACAAUAACGACAUGUACAGCAGCAACACGUACGCAGCAUUGCCAGCGUGUAGCUGCAGCUAGAACAUCCAGUUCCUACCUGCGGUACUUGCAGUGUCAGCUCCCACGUAGGAGUAUAUAAACUACUCCACAGCUACAUACCUGGUAGUCUGGUACCUCUAACCCUCUCACUCUUCCCUCCCGCGUGUAUUUCCGCUAACAUACUCUACUCUGUAGCAGGCACCACCACCGCGCGCUCAUGGACCCUGACCCACGACCGCCGGCAGCGGCAGCGGCAGCGCAGGUGCGGCUCCUCCUCAUGGCCAUCGCGGCCGUCGCCUGCAUCAACGCCGCCGAGCCCCACCUCGCCUUGGCAGCCUUCGUCCUUUGGCUCGUCGCCAUCUUUCCCCCGCUCCACCGCCACGACUGAGGCAGCCGCAGUUGGUCGUGCACAGCGUGAAGGAGGACCACACACAGGAGGUUGCGCGGCGGCGGCGGCGACGCUGCCCUGGCGGGGGUGGUGGUUUGGAGGCAGCAGGUGCCCGCGUGUAGGGAGGGGGGUGUUGCCUCGGCGGGUCUCGCAUCUCAACGUCGUGGUUUGUGGAGAUUUACGGAGGCGAGAUUUGCGGAGGCGGCUGAGGCCCGGCUGGACGGGUGCGAGGGAGAGGCUGUCGCGGGUGGUGGCAGGGGCAUGCAAGAUUUGUGAAGGCGGGGCAUGUAUACUAAUGUGGAUGUCUAUGUUGUGUUCUUGUAGAGUAGUAUAUAUAUAAAUAGAUAUUAAUAUAUUUAUUAAAAUAUAAUUAUUGUUUAUUUAUGACCACUAACGUGGUCUAGUGGUUAGCCCUAAAUUUAUAGAGAAGGGGUUGUGUGUUUGA